rnacentral:rRNA from 1 species
UACGUAGGGUCGGAGCGUUGUCCGGAGUUACUGGGCGUAAAGCGCGCGCAGGUGGCUCGGUAAGACUGGCGUGAAAGCCCCCGGCUCAACCGGGGAGGGUCGUUGGUGACUGCCGGGCUUGAGGGCAGCAGGGGCAGGUGGAAUUCCCGGUGUAGUGGUGAAAUGCGUAGAGAUCGGGAGGAACACCCGUGGCGAAGGCGGCCUGCUGGGCUGACCCUGACACUGAGGCGCGAAGGCGUGGGGAGCGAACGGG